rfam:Sphingomonas sp. MCT13 MCT13_NODE_32_length_45153_cov_37.4634_ID_1924, whole genome shotgun sequence.
UGCGUAUUUGGCUCAGGCGGAGCUAGAAGCCUUGGCAGGCUCCGCCAGUUCAAGCGACGAUCGCAUGCACCGACCAGCGUGCCAUCCAUCGGGUUGAGCGGAUCUGCAAGGUGCUUCCGAGCGCCCCU